AGUGAACGCUGGCGGUAGGCCUAACACAUGCAAGUCGAACGGCAGCACAGUAAGAGCUUGCUCUUACGGGUGGCGAGUGGCGGACGGGUGAGGAAUACAUCGGAAUCUACUUUUUCGUGGGGGAUAACGUAGGGAAACUUACGCUAAUACCGCAUACGACCUACGGGUGAAAGCAGGGGAUCUUCGGACCUUGCGCGAUUGAAUGAGCCGAUGACGGAUUAGCUAGUUGGCGGGGUAAAGGCCCACCAAGGCGACGAUCCGUAGCUGGUCUGAGAGGAUGAUCAGCCACACUGGAACUGAGACACGGUCCAGCCUCCUACGGGAGGCAGCAGUGGGGAAUAUUGGACAAUGGGCGCAAGCCUGAUCCAGCCAUACCGCGUGGGUGAAGAAGGCCUUCGGGUUGUAAAGCCCUUUUGUUGGGAAAGAAAAGCAGCAGGUUAAUACCCCGCUGUUCUGACGGUACCCACAGAAUAAGCACCGGCUAACUUCGUG
rnacentral:rRNA from 1 species